UAGCUAAAGAUUUGAUGUAGUAGUUACAGUUGUGCAUUUAUUUUUCUGUGUUUUUAAGUGUAAGUGGACUGGGCAUUUGGCAAUGGAAGGCAGAAUGCCUGGAUUUAUCGCUUGAAAAAUCUGCGAAUGAGGCUUUGUUACUUGUUUAAACAUUGGAUGUGGUUCUCUUCUCAUGCCACUUCAGUCUCUUAGAAAGAGUGUAGAAAUAAUCAGGGGCUUCCUUAUGCUUGAGGGCGUGUAGAAAAG
rnacentral:misc_RNA from 1 species